rnacentral:rRNA from 1 species
AUAGCCCCUGACUCGGCAUGCGACGCCGCCUUAGGGAUGACCGGCCUUCCGUGGCUGUGUAAACCUCUCAAGCCAGUAUCGAGCCGCAUGUGACUGGUACCUGCAGAAAGAGCACCCGGCCAACUACGUGCCAAGCAGGCCGCGGUAAUACGUAGGGUUGCGAGCCGUGUUCCUGCAAAUUACUGGGCGUAAAGAAGCUCGUAGGCCGGGUUUUGUCCGCCGUCGUCCGUGAAAAAACUUGGGGCUCCAUCCCCCAAAGCUUGCCGGGCGAUACGGGCAGGACUUGAGUACUGCAGGGGAGGACUGGAAUUCCUGGUGUAGCGGUGAAAUGCGCAGAUAUCAGGAGGAACACCGGUGGCGAAGGCGGGUCUCUGGGCAGUAACUGACGCUGAGGAGCGAAAGCGUGGGUAGCGAACAGGAUUAGAUACCCUGGUAGUCCACGCCGUAAACGGUGGGCGCUAGGUGUGGGUUUCCUUCCACGGGAUCCGUGCCGUAGCUAACGCAUUAAGCGCCCUGCCUGGGGAGUACGGCCGCAAGGCUAAAACUCAAAGGAAUUGACGGGGGCCCGCACAAGCGGCGGAGCAUGUGGAUUAAUUCGAUGCAACGCGAAGAACCUUACCUGGGUUUGACAUACACCAGAAACGUCUAGAGAUAGGCGCCCCCUUGUGGUUGGUGUACAGGUGGUGCAUGGCUGUAGUCAGCUCGUGUCGUGAGAUGUUGGGUUAAGUCCCGCAACGAGCGCAACCCUUGUCCUGUGUUGCCAGCACGUAAUGGUGGGGACUCGCAGGAGACUGCCGGGGUCAACUCGGAGGAAGGUGGGGACGACGUCAAGUCAUCAUGCCCCUUAUGUCCAGGGCUUCACACAUGCUACAAUGGCCGGUACAGAGGGCUGCGAUACCGUGAGGUGGAGCGAAUCCCUUAAAGCCGGUCUCAGUUCGGAUCGGGGUCUGCAACUCGACCCCGUGAAGUCGGAGUCAAUAGUAAUCGCAGAUCAGCAACGCUGCGGUGAAUACGUUCCUGGGCCUUGUACACUCCGCCCGUCUUGUCAGGAAAGUUUGUUACAUUUGGAUUAAGGCUCACUAAGUAGUUGGAAGCAGCCGUCUGUCGAGAGUAAAUACC